rnacentral:rRNA from 1 species
CCUACUGAGUGCAGCAGUGGGGAAUAUUGCACAAUGGGGGAAACCCUGAUGCAGCGACGCCGCGUGAGUGAAGCAGUAUUUCGGUAUGUAAAGCUCUAUCAGCAGGGACGAAAAUGACGGUACCUGAUAAAGAAGCCCCGGCUAACUACGUGCCAGCAGCCGCGGUAAUACGUAGGGGGCAAGCGGUCUCCGGAUUUACUGGGGGUAAAGGGAGCGUAGACGGCAGCACAAGUCUGGCGUGAAAUGCCGGGGCUUAACCCCUGAACUGCUUUGGAAACUGUGCUGCUAGAGUGCAGGAGAGGUAAGUGGAAUUCCUAGUGUAGCGGUGAAAUGCGUAGAUAUUAGGAGGAACACCAGUGGCGAAGGCGGCUUACUGGACUUUAACUGACGUUGAGGCGCGAAAGCGUGGGGAGCAAACAGGAUUAGAUACCCCUGUAGUC